rnacentral:rRNA from 1 species
GACGAACCGAGCGAACGUUAUUCGGAAUCACUGGGCUUAAAGGGUGCGUAGGCGGGCUCGUGAGUCAGGGGUGAAAUCCCACGGCCCAACCGUGGAAGUGCCUCUGAUACUGCGGGCCUAGAGGGGGACAGGGGCAUGCGGAACUUCCGGUGGAGCGGUGAAAUGCGUAGAUAUCGGAAGGAACACCGGUGGCGAAAGCGGCGUGCUGGAUCCCUACUGACGCUGAGGCACGAAAGCCAGGGGAGCAAACGG